rnacentral:rRNA from 1 species
UACGUAGGGUGCGAGCGUUGUCCGGAAUUACUGGGCGUAAAGAGCUCGUAGGUGGUUUGUCGCGUUGUUCGUGAAAACUCACAGCUCAACUGUGGGCGUGCGGGCGAUACGGGCAGACUGGAGUACUGCAGGGGAGACUGGAAUUCCUGGUGUAGCGGUAGAAUGCGCAGAUAUCAGGAGGAACACCGGUGGCGAAGGCGGGUCUCUGGGCAGUAACUGACGCUGAGGAGCGAAAGCGUGGGGAGCGAACAGG